UGUUAAAAUUUAAUCAAUUUCUAUUGUUAAAAACUGACGGAAUAACUGGAUAGUUUAACGUGGCGUGCCACAUUUACCUCAUGAUGACGUAAAUGGAUUAGAUUUUAACAAUAGAAAUUAAUGAAAUUGUUAACG
rfam:Gossypium raimondii Chr06_contig_1287, whole genome shotgun sequence.